rnacentral:rRNA from 1 species
CCUACGGGGCGCAGCAGUGGGGGAUAUUGCACAAUGGGGGAAACCCUGAUGCAGCGACGCCGCGUGGGCGAAGAAGUAUUUCGGUAUGUAAAGCCCUAUCAGCAGGGAAGAAGAAAAGACGGUACCUGAGAAAGAAGCACCGGCGAAAUACGUACAAGCAGCCGCGGUAAUAAGUAUGGUGCAAGCUUUAUCCGGAUUUACUGGGUGUAAAGGGAGCGCAGGGGGCACGGCAAGCCGGAUGUGAAAGACCGCGGCCCAACCGCGGGGCUGCCUUGGGAACUGCCGGGCUGGAGGGCCGGAGAGGUAGGCGGAAUUCCUGGUGUAGCGGUGAAAUGCGUAGAUAUUAGGAGGAACACCAGUGGCGAAGGCGGCCUACUGGACGGUAACUGACGCUGAGGCUCGAAAGCGUGGGGAGCAAACAGGAUUAGAUACCCUAGUAGUC